rnacentral:rRNA from 1 species
UACGGAGGGUGCGAACGUUGCUCGGAAUCAUUGGGCGUAAAGCGCACGUAGGCGGCGGCGUAAGCGGGAUGUGAAAGCCCAGGGCUCAACCCUGGAAGUGCAUCCCGAACUGUGUCGCUUGAAUCUCGGAGGGGGACAGAGAAUUCCCGGUGUAGAGGUGAAAUUCGUAGAUAUCGGGAGGAAUACCAGUGGCGAAGGCGGCCAUCUGGAUCAACACUGACGCUGAGGCACGAAAGCGUGGGGAGCAAACAGGG